CCUACGGGAGGCAGCAGUGAGGAAUAUUGGUCAAUGGGCGAGAGCCUGAACCAGCCAAGUCGCGUGAAGGAUGAAGGAUCUAUGGUUUGUAAACUUCUUUUAUAUGGGAAUAAAGUGAGGAACGUGUUCCUUUUUGUAUGUACCAUAUGGAUAAGCAUCGGCUAACUCCGGUCCAGCAGCCGCGGUAAUUCGGAGGAUGCGAGCGUUAUCCGGAUUUAUUGGGUUUAAAGGGUGCGUAGGUGGUGAAUUAAGUCAGCGGGGAAAGUUUGUGGGUCAAACAUAAAAGUGCCGUUGAAACUGGUUGACUUGAGUAUAUGUGAGGUAGGCGGAAGGCGUGGUGUAGCGGUGAAAUGCAUAGAUAUCACGCAGAACGCCGAUUGCGAAGGCAGCUUACUAAACUAUAACUGACACUGAAGCACGAAAGCGUGGGGAUCAAACAGGAUUAGAUACCCGAGUAGUC
rnacentral:rRNA from 1 species